GCGCCCGUAGCUCAGCUGGAUAGAGCAACAGCCUUCUAAGCUGUGGGUCAGAGGUUCGAAUCCUCUCGGGCGCGCCA
rnacentral:tRNA from 4 species